rnacentral:rRNA from 1 species
AUUGAACGCUGGCGGCAGGCCUAACACAUGCAAGUCGAACGGUAACAGGAAGAAGCUUGCUUCUUUGCUGACGAGUGGCGGACGGGUGAGUAAUGUCUGGGAAACUGCCUGAUGGAGGGGGAUAACUACUGGAAACGGUAGCUAAUACCGCAUAACGUCGCAAGACCAAAGAGGGGGACCUUCGGGCCUCUUGCCAUCGGAUGUGCCCAGAUGGGAUUAGCUAGUAGGUGGGGUAACGGCUCACCUAGGCGACGAUCCCUAGCUGGUCUGAGAGGAUGACCGGCCACACUGGAACUGAGACACGGUCCAGACUCCUACGGGAGGCAGCAGUGGGGAAUAUUGCGCAAUGGGCGCAAGCCUGAUGCAGCCAUGCCGCGUGUAUGAAGAAGGCCUUCGGGUUGUAAAGUACUUUCAGCGGGGAGGAAGGGAGUAAAGUUAAUACCUUUGCUCAUUGACGUUACCCGCAGAAGAAGCACCGGCUAACUCCGUG